UUUUGAAGAAAAUUGCAGUGUGACGUCACUCAAAGUGUUCAAAUUGUAAAGAUGAGAAAGUUAGUAUUUUCUGUGUUGGUGUUUGACGCUAGUGUUUUUACUCUCAGUGUGUUCUGAGUGACAGUGUGUGUUAUCUCAGUGAGGAUUGAUC